AGUGUAGGCGGCUUCGUAAGUCGGAUGUGAAAGCCCCGGGCUUAACCUGGGAAUGGCAUUCGAUACUGCGCGGCUAGAGUCUGAUAGAGGGAAGUGGAAUUCCAGGUGUAGCGGUGAAAUGCGUAGAGAUCUGGAGGAAUACCAGUGGCGAAGGCGGCUUCCUGGAUCAAGACUGACGCUGAGGCUCGAAAGCGUGGGGAGCAAACA
rnacentral:rRNA from 1 species